AAGAUCUAAAAAAUAAACAAAAAAUAGAUCAGAAUAUUCUAAUUUAUAAUGACAUUGAUGAUAAUUUUAUUUGUCAAAAAGCAAAAACACUAAUGAUCGACCAAAUACACUUUUACCAGAAACGAAUCAUGACAUAGAAAUUUGUUAUUUCACAUCUAUGUAGUGCAUUAGUUUCCAUGUUUUCUUGAGUUUCAAAGUCAAAUGUAAACAUGUUUUUUUCUAUUUUUUGAAAACUGCAGUUUUUAAAAAAUAAAUAUAUUUUAUUUAGUGUACUUUUUAAAGCUUUAUUUCUGUUAUAUUAUAGGGAAUGCUUAAUUCUAAGCUCCAAUUAACUAAAGAAUAUUUUCCAGAGAAUAAAGAUUCAUAUUUUCAUGUUAAGAAUAAUUGUUAGGUAACUCUAAUAACAAAUGCAAAUUAACUAAUGUUUAUGGAAAUAUGUAACUGUCACAGAAUCUUUCCUAUUUCAAAGAAGCAUAAAUUAAAGAAAGGGCAAAGUAUUUACUAUGUAAUUCAGAGAAUGUACUAUGUAACUCUGUCCCUACUCUCAGAUUCAUCUCUCUCUCCCCCCCACCUCCUUCCAUUCCUCUCAAAGAUUCUGACCAUGAUGUGAAAACUACACAAGAGUCUUGAAAUGGAGUAAUUCUUCAUGAGGGAACAACAGGUCCUUUUGAAGGAUUUCAACAACAACAACAACAAAAGUGGUGCGUCCUAAUCACGUGUAUCUUAGACCUAACAAAAUGCCAGAGGCACUACAUGUCAGUCCAGAAUGAAUCUCCAAUAGGACAUCCAUUGUUUCAAGGGAUGGAAAAUAUACCAUCUUCAAAAGCCAGAGAUUUAAUGUAUGGAGGCCUCAAUGGUAAGAAACAAUAACUUCAAACUGAGCCCAGAUUAACUCCUUAUUUUCCCACUCUUUUGGUGUUCUUAUUUUCUAUUUUAGACAGAAGACUGAUGUUGUAAAAUGACAGCCAUUGUUUCCAAUAUGACUCUUGGAAUUAUUGUUAAAAAUGUCACCUGGUCACGGUCAACCUAUUGCUCAACAGUUGCCUUUGAAUGCUAUCAUCUAGUAUGGUGUAUUAAAUUUUAUUUUAAAAAUAUAAUGCUACCAGGCUGGAGUUAUGGCUCAGAGGUAGAACACUUGCCUAGCAUGCAUAAGGCACUGAGUUCAAUUCUCACCACCACAUAAAAAUAAAAUAAAGAUAUUGUGUCUACCUAUAACUAAAAAAAAAAUAUUUUUUAAAAAAUAUAAUGCUACCUAAACACCAUGUAUGUGUCCUUUUUACUUUAAGGAUAAAGAAAGGACUUUUGUUGUCACAUAUUAUCAUGAAGUUCAGAUACACCACAUCAUCUAUUUUUUUCUGGUCACUUAAUAUAGUGACCUUGUGAAAAUCAACAUGAUGUUUUCUGGAAUAAUUUAUCCCAAUGAACUACAGCUAGAUGCCAUUUCUGGAAAUUUCCCUUUCAAUAGAGUUUACAAACUAUUUCUAAUUUCAACAAAAAUCUUCCACAAGAUGAUUUUCAAACUCAUUAAUUCAUAGCUAGCAAAACACAGUUUUCUUCUUUUUGGAAAAGAAGUGCUUGCCUCCCUGAGCUCUUACAAUACCUCUUUUGAUAAUCAUGUUUUCUUCAAAAUUACUAGAAUUGGUUUGGCAAUCUUUUCUUCAAUUACUGAGAAUAACCUGAUUUUAAAGAUCUGUCAAUGUUGAUAGAGUUUUAUUCGACCACAAAGAAGAAUGAAACUAUGUCAUUGCAGGAAAAUAGAUAGAACUUGAAACAUCAUGUUAAAUGAAAUAAGCCAAACUCAGAUUUUU